GAUGAACGCUGGCGGCGUGCCUAAUACAUGCAAGUCGAGCGAACAGACGCGGCGCUUGCUCCUCUGACGUUAGCCGCGGGCGGGUGAGUAACGCGUGGAUAACCUACCUAUAAGACUGGGAUAACUUCGGGAAACCGGAGCUAAUACCGUAUAACAUGUUGAUCCGCAUGGUUCGACGGAGAAUGACGGUCUUGCUGUCACUUAUAGCUGGAUCCGGGCCGUAUUAGAUAGUUGUUAAGGUAACGGCUUACCAAGGCAACGAGGCGUAGCCGACCUGAGAGGGGGAUCGGCCACAUUGGAACUGAGACACGGUCCAGACUCCUACGGGAGGCAGCAGUAGGGAAUCUUCGGCAAUGGGCGAAAGCCUGACGGAGCAACGGCGCGUGAGUGAAGAAGGUCUCCGGAUCGUAAAACUCUGUUAUUAGGGAAGAACAAAUGUGGAAGUAAAUAUGGACGUAUUGACGGUACCUAAUCAGAAAGCCACGGCUAACUACGUG
rnacentral:rRNA from 1 species